rnacentral:rRNA from 1 species
GAUGAACGCUGGCGGCGUGCCUAAUACAUGCAAGUCGAGCGAAGCGGGGACGGGUGAGUAACACGUGGAUAACCUCCUAUAAGACUGGGAUAACUUCGGGAAACCGGCGCUAAACCGGAUAAUUAUAAAUGGAUCCGCGCUGCAUUAGCUAGUUUGUAAGGUAACGGAUUACCAAGGCAACGAUGCAUAGCCGACCUGAGAGGGUGAGUGGCCACCCUUGAACUGUGAACCGGUCCCGAAUCCUACGGGAGGCAGAAGUAGGGAAUCUUCCGCAAUGGGCGAAAGCCUGACGGAGCAACGCCGCGUGAGUGAUGAAGGUUUGCGGAUCGUAAAACUCUGUUAUUAGGGAAGCGGUACCUAAUCAGAAAGCCACGGCUAACUACGUGCCAGCAGCCGCGGUAAUUC